CUAAUCUUUGGGGCUGCAUUCUACUUGUUCUGAACAGGAAUUCCCUCUCGUAGAAUGCCAGGGGCACUGGUGUCAAAAGGCAUUUUCUAGGACAGUGAGAGGCAGAUAGGCUUCUUUUCUCAUGUGGGAUUCGAAGAUGACUCUAUCUGUGUAUGCCCCCUGUACUCUGGGGCAUAAAUCCUUUCUGCUGAAUUUUAUCUAUUUAUCUUGCUCUCAGGAAAAUAACUGAGUACUUUUCUCUCUGUGAUCGCCAGAGAGAAAUUUGGAAGUGAGAAAAUAAUCCUCCCUUCAUUUUUGAUAGUUGAAUAUAUAUCUUUUAAAGUAUAGUUUUUAUUAUAAGCCUGUAGAGGCAUCAUGGUAUAGCACACAUUUGGAGUCAAAAGACUUAGUUUUGAAUCCAGAUAAGGCUGAAGGGUCUUGUCAAAUGGUGAGGGACAGUUACAGAGAUGGAGUACCCAAGAGGACAUGUGUUCUCUGUGGCUGGUAUUAGAUAUGAAAUGGACAGAUACACAGGUCUAUGGCCACCAAGGUCAAGUGGUUGCUGUUGAGAAUAGCAUUUUAGUGGAGAACUUUUAGUGAAAAGUCUGGAUUUCACUGAAGGUUGGGACAGUCAUAAUAACUUGCUUUUGAAUAUGCUUCAAAAAAAGUAAACAGCUCAAAAUAAGACAAUGUGAGGUCAGAGAGCCAUGGGCCCCCAGAAGGGGCAUUUUCUAGGUCAGUGUAGAAUGAUCUAAAGUCUAGGAAUCAACAUUCAGGACUCUAAAGGGAAAUGUCCUUCUUAUUCCUGGGGCCAGAGACCAAAUCAAAAGCUAUCAAAACAGAAAUGUACCAAAACCCAUCCUGAGAGGACAAUCUAGGUGCCAGGUUCAGAAAAAUAGAAAGAUGGUCUUGGAAGGGUCCAAAGUUUCUGCAGACUCCAAAACAAUUAUAAUAACCUACUCUGGGCUGGGAGUCUGAGUUUUGCAUAGGUCACAUUGGACUUCAUUUAUAAGAGGAUAAGAUAUCAGUUUUAUGUAAAUACUAUCAUAUCUUUAUAUAUGCAUAAUUAUCUUAUUUUUCUUAGUAAAGUCUCAGUUGAUAGAUUCCACCAUUAUAAGGGAAAUAAAUUAGAUGCACCUAAGCUGGAUUAGUGAGGAAACUCAGAUUUCCAUGAAUGAUCAUGAUAGUGUCCGUCUAGCUAGAGGUCUGGUGAGGAUGUGGCAGAUAAAAGUUCAAGAAAAAGAAACUUAGGGACAGCUAAGACUAUGGAUUACUUUUUACGUGUGGGUUCAUUCGUCUAGUUAACAAUAUACAUUAGGUACCUUUUAUGUGCCAGCCACUAUCCUAGGCACCUGGGCACUGGGGAUAUAGUUAUACCCAAAACAUAAAAGGCCCCUAACCUC
rnacentral:lncRNA from 10 species